rnacentral:rRNA from 1 species
UGGGGAAUUUUGGACAAUGGGCGAAAGCCUGAUCCAGCAAUGCCGCGUGUGUGAAGAAGGCCUUCGGGUUGUAAAGCACUUUUGUCCGGAAAGAAAUCCUUGGCUCUAAUACAGUCGGGGGAUGACGGUACCGGAAGAAUAAGCACCGGCUAACUACGUGCCAGCAGCCGCGGUAAUACGUAGGGUGCAAGCGUUAAUCGGAAUUACUGGGCGUAAAGCGUGCGCAGGCGGUUUGCUAAGACCGAUGUGAAAUCCCCGGGCUCAACCUGGGAACUGCAUUGGUGACUGGCAGGCUAGAGUAUGGCAGAGGGGGGUAGAAUUCCACGUGUAGCAGUGAAAUGCGUAGAGAUGUGGAGGAAUACCGAUGGCGAAGGCAGCCCCCUGGGCCAAUACUGACGCUCAUGCACGAAAAGCGUGGGGAGCAAACAGGAUUAGAUACCCUGGUAGUCCACGCCCUAAACGAUGUCAACUAGUUGUUGGGGAUUCAUUUCCUUAGUAACGUAGCUAACGCGUGAAGUUGACCGCCUGGGGGAGUACGGUCGCAAGAUUAAAACUCAAAUGAAUUGAC